AAACAAAAAAAAAAAAAAAAAAAAAAAAAAAAAAAAAA
rnacentral:ribozyme from 13 species